GCUGAUCUUCUAGAAGAUCUGGACUCGAUAUCCAGAGCCUCCAUGAUGAGUCAUGACCAUCUGUAACUCCAGUCCCACGGAAUAAGAAGCCACCUUCUGGCCUGUGCAGAAUUAAGCAAAAAGAAGAAGAAGAAAGCUCUCAGCCUGUUAGCAUCCUAAAAAUAAAUCUUCAGAAGUCAACAGACAGGAGCCUCUGCUGUUUUGACUCCAAGAAGGUGCAGCCGUGAUGCCACUCCUCCUCCCUUCACCUACAGAGAACUUCAGUCCAUCACGGUGGUGAAGGCAUGCUGGUAAGACACAACUGAAUGAGAGAAAGCGCUGCCGUGGGCCUUCACGAUGACAUCCUCCAAACGUCAAGCUGUUCCUAAACACCAUGUGUACCUAACUGUUUCCUCUUAGGAAAAAACAAAAUUCCUGGUGUCUUCCAGAACCUUCUCUUGGCCUCUAUGUGGACUACAGCCUCAAGCUGUAUUUUCAACCCAUUAGGCAGCAUCUUCAAACAGUGGUACUGAGGGAAGACACGCUGGCCUGGAAGACACAUUUUGUAGGUGCCAUUUUUCACUGCUAGGCAGCAGUCAUUACAGAGGAGGCCACUAGACCCAGCUCAUAAUUUCCACAAUCUUAUGGGCCACCAUCCCAAGAUCUCUGCCCAUCUGUGGAAGAAGAUGCAAAGCUAUCUGGGUGGCACUAACACCAAACAGCACUACAGGCCUAGAGGACCACAGCCCUUCUGCGAAGGAUGGAUACACUGAGCACAGUAAGCACACAGGCAGCUUUGCAGACAUGGAAAAACAAUGCCUAAGAUGUGGAGCUAAUUUGAAAAGAGAAACAGGAAAUGAGGUUAGACGCCAGCUAAUGAGGACCCAUGGCUGGCAACCUUGAGUCACUCUGAUAAUGCUCUUAAUUGCCAUCGGAAUCAUUUCGAAUCACUGGAAUUAAAAAUGGCUUUACAAACCAUAGCUGUUUUGCUAACUUAUCAUCACAGAAAUGUAUAUGAACUGAAGACAUCAUGGAAAGCAAGUAGUCAUUCUGUAGUUAGUGUUAGUGUUCGCUGACUGCACAGCUCCGGAGAUGAAGAGCCCUCAGGAAUUCAAUUCUGCGCGUCAGCACUAAACAGCUUCUCAAGCUAACAUCCUUUAAAGGAAGAAAAUAGGGGGUGAGGGAGUGUCUCCUCAGCUAAAGAAGAGCAAUACAUUAUGCCCUGACUCUAGUUAGGGGAGGAUGAAAGACUAAAGACCGAUCCAUCUCCAUCUCGUCACCCCUUCAUUUCAUUCUGAUUCCUGAUUCUCCAUCUGCUUAUCAAACACUGAACAGCACUUCCAGUGAGGCGCUGUCCCCAGUUAGACAGAGCCCGUUUUUCU